rnacentral:rRNA from 1 species
GACGAACGCUGGCGGCGUGCUUAACACAUGCAAGUCGAACGAUGAACCGAGAGCUUGCUCUUGGGGAUUAGUGGCGAACGGGUGAGUAACACGUGAGUAACCUGCCCUGGACUCUGGGAUAACCCCGAGAAAUCGGAGCUAAUACCGGAUAGGACCCUGUACCGCAUGGUGUGGGGUGGCAAGGUUUGUCGGUCUGGGAUGGACUCGCGGCCUAUCAGCUUGUUGGUGAGGUAAUGGCUCACCAAGGCGUCGACGGGUAGCCGGCCUGAAAGGGUGACCGGCCACACUGGGACUGAGACACGGCCCAGACUCCUACGGGAGGCAGCAGUGGGGAAUAUUGCACAAUGGGCGCAAGCCUGAUGCAGCAACGCCGCGUGCGGGAUGACGGCCUUCGGGUUGUAAACCGCUUUUAGUAAGGAAGAAGGGGAGCUUGCUCCUUGACGGUACUUGCAGAAAAAGGACCGGCUAACUACGUGCCAGCAGCCGCAGUAAUAC